AUUGAUUCAAUGUUGUUUACGCUUCGUGAUAUCCGACAUUUGUAUGGUGAAGCAUAACACUUUGAUCAUUAAUAUUACAUAAAAUGUUGAUCAAUUAUUUAUUUAUUUAUAAUAUGUAUCUUGGAUGUUUGAUAUUGUUUGAGUUUCGUGACCGACAAUAGUCUGGUGAAGCAUCAUUAUGCUUCGUGACCGACACCUGUAUGGUGAAACAUCGACACUUUGAUCAUCCAAAAGAA
rnacentral:lncRNA from 1 species